UGUGUGUGUGUGUGUGUGUGUGUGUGUGUGUGUGUAUACACACAUAAGAGAGACAUACACACACACAUACACCCAGGUACAUAUACGUACCUAU
rnacentral:miRNA from 1 species